rnacentral:rRNA from 1 species
UGGGGAAUAUUGCACAAUGGAGGAAACUCUGAUGCAGCGACGCCGCGUGAGUGAAGAAGUAUUUCGGUAUGUAAAGCUCUAUCAGCAGGGAAGAAAAUGACGGUACCUGACUAAGAAGCACCGGCUAAAUACGUGCCAGCAGCCGCGGUAAUACGUAUGGUGCAAGCGUUAUCCGGAUUUACUAGGUGUAAAGGGGGCGUAGGUGGCAAGGCAAGCCAGAAGUGAAAACCCGGGGCUCAACCGCGGGAUUGCUUUUGGAACUGUCAUGCUAGAGUGCAGGAGGGGUGAGCGGAAUUCCUAGUGUAGCGGUGAAAUGCGUAGAUAUUAGGAGGAACACCGGAGGCGAAGGCGGCUCACUGGACUGUAACUGACACUGAGGCUCGAAAGCGUGGGGAGCAAACAGG